GUGAUUUUUUCAGAUUUGAUGUUUUUUCACAUGAUGUUGUGUUAAUGUGUAAAUAUGUCAUGUUGUGUUAUAUUACGUAAUGUGUUGUCUUGUAUUUUGUUGUGUUGUUGUUUGAUUUUUUCAGAUAUUAUGUUUCUAUAUUAUAUUGUGUUUAUGUCUUAUGUUGUGUUAUUCAUGUCAUGUGUUGUCCUGUAUUUUGUUGUGUUGUUGUUUGAUUUUUUUCAGAUAUUAUGUUUCUGUAUUAUAUUGUGUUUAUGUGUUAUGUGGUGUUAUUCAUGUCGUGUUGUUUUGUUUUGUUGUGCAGUGUUGUGUCUUUGUGUGUUACGUUCUGUUGUGAUGUGUUGUCUCGUUUGUGUUUUGUUUUGUUGCGUCUUGUUGUGUCUUGUGUCUUUGUGUGUUACGUUCUGUUGUGAUGUGUUGUCUUGUUUGUGUUUUGUUUUGUUGCGUCUUGUUGUGUCUUGUGUCUUUGUGUGUUACGUUCUGUUGUGAUGUGUUGUCUCGUCAUGUGAUCUGAUCUGAUGUGAUGUGAUGAUUAAUGAUGUGACAUAAUAUCAGGUCAUGUGAUGUGAGCUACAUUUUGUUUCAUCAAAAUGAACUUUUUGGUUCAUUGAAUGUCCCAGCGUCUCUUUGAUUCAUUCCCUCAGCGGACAGGUGGGAUCUAAAAAAGGAACAGGAGCUGAAAUCUAAAGAAGAGCCCUGAACAACAGAACAGAGGAGACAGGAAGCAGCACAGAGGACACAGACAGGAUGAGAUUGAAUGAACAGACCGACAACGAGAAAGAAGAAGAAAAGACGAGAGACAAGUGUCAACGCUGAGACCUCAAAGCAAACAGAGGAGUCCAUUUAAAGAGGAGACGGACGAGUUUGGAGACAACAAGAGGUCGGCACAACAUUUAGAAUCAGCUGCAAAAACAGAGUUUGCAAAUCAAAUCUGAAUAAAUAUAGAACCAUGAAUAAUC